UACGUAGGGGGCAAGCGUUGUCCGGAUUUAUUGGGCGUAAAGAGCGUGUAGGCGGCCAGGUAGGUCCGUUGUGAAAACUCGAGGCUCAACCUCGAGACGCCGAUGGAAACCCCCUGGCUAGAGUCCGGAAGAGGAGAAUGGAAUUCCUGGUGUAGCGGUGAAAUGCGCAGAUAUCAGGAAGAACACCCGUGGCUAAGGCGGUUCUCUAGUACGGUACUGACGCUGAGACGCGAAAGCGUGGGGAGCGAACAGG
rnacentral:rRNA from 1 species